rnacentral:rRNA from 1 species
AUUGAACGCUGGCGGCAGGCCUAACACAUGCAAGUCGAGCGGAUGCAGGGAGCUUGCUCCUGGAUUCAGCGGCGGACGGGUGAGUAAUGCCUAGGAAUCUGCCUGGUAGUGGGGGAUAACGUCCGGAAACGGGCGCUAAUACCGCAUACGUCCUGAGGGAGAAAGUGGGGGAUCUUCGGACCUCACGCUAUCAGAUGAGCCUAGGUCGGAUUAGCUAGUUGGUGGGGUAAAGGCCUACCAAGGCGACUAUCCGUAACUGGUCUGAGAGGAUGAUCAGUCACACUGGAACUGAGACACGGUCCAGACUCCUACGGGAGGCAGCAGUGGGGAAUAUUGGACAAUGGGCGAAAGCCUGAUCCAGCCAUGCCGCGUGUGUGAAGAAGGUCUUCGGAUUGUAAAGCACUUUAAGUUGGGAGGAAGGGCAGUAAGUUAAUACCGUGCUGUUUUGACGGUACCAACAGAAUAAGCACCGGCUAACUUCGUG